rnacentral:rRNA from 1 species
CCUACGGGAGGCUGCAGUGGGGAAUCUUGGACAAUGGGCGCAAGCCUGAUCCAGCCAUGCCGCGUGAGUGAAGAAGGCCUUAGGGUUGUAAAGCUCUUUUGGCGGGGACGAUAAUGACGGUACCCGCAGAAUAAGCCCCGGCUAACUUCGUGCCAGCAGCCGCGGUAAUACGAAGGGGGCUAGCGUUGUUCGGAAUUACUGGGCGUAAAGCGCACGUAGGCGGAUUUGUAAGUCAGGGGUGAAAUCCCGGGGCUCAACCUCGGAACUGCCUUUGAUACUGCGGAUCUCGAGUCCGGAAGAGGUGAGUGGAAUUCCUAGUGUAGAGGUGAAAUUCGUAGAUAUUAGGAAGAACACCAGUGGCGAAGGCGGCUCACUGGUCCGAUACUGACGCUGAGGUGCGAAAGCGUGGGGAGCAAACAGGAUUAGAUACCCCAGUAGUC